rnacentral:rRNA from 1 species
AUUGAACGCUGGCGGCAGGCCUAACACAUGCAAGUCGAACGAGUGGCGGACGGGUGAGUAAUGUAUGGGAAACUGCCCGAUGGAGGGGGAUAACUACUGGAAACGGUAGCUAAUACCGCAUACUAUCGGAUGUGCCCAGAUGGGAUUAGCUAGUAGGUGGGGUAACGGCUCACCUAGGCGACGAUCCCUAGCUGGUCUGAGAGGAUGACCAGCCACACUGGAACUGAGACACGGUCCAGACUCCUACGGGAGGCAGCAGUGGGGAAUAUUGCACAAUGGGCGCAAGCCUGAUGCAGCCAUGCCGCGUGUAUGAAGAAGGCCUUAGGGUUGUAAAGUACUUUCAGCGGGGAGGCGUUACUCGCAGAAGAAGCACCGGCUAACUCCGUGCCAGCAGCCGCGGUAAUUC